rnacentral:tRNA from 2 species
GAAAUAUAUAAAUUAAGCUUCUAACUUAAAAAUUAGCAAUAUAAUUGUUAAUAUUUCU